rnacentral:snoRNA from 1 species
UAAAAGCAAAUUCUGUAACACAAAAUGAUAACUCUAAACCACUACAAAUUUAUAAUUGGAGUUUAAAAUGUAAUUAGAAUAGCUUUAAUUUAUAUUUUCCUCAAUUCUGCCCAUUAAGAAGCACAAAAUUUUAAAAUUGGCUACAAUG